GCAGUGUUAAGGUUACGAUGAACAAUAAGAGCUUCUCCAUGAAGCAAUAUGUCCAAAUCCUUGGCAUUUGAAGCAUCUUUUGUUGACAUUAGAAGCACGAGUAGAAGUAGUCUCUUUAUCAUUAUUGCUUACAGUUUUGGAAGAGUUUACUUUGGAGGCAGAAUUGUUGCUGAACUUUGACUUCCAUGGUUUGAGUUGAACAACAUCUGCAAUUUCAACAUUGAGACCCCCAAGAUAACGAGCUACAGUUUGUUCUUCAGGCUCACGGACAUCGCACUUCAUGUGAAGUUGUUCGAACCCCAAUGUAUAUUCUUCUACCGACAUUAUUUUUUGCCUCAAGUUAUGAAGUUUGAUAAAAAUUUCUUGUUGAUAAUGCUUACGAAGGAACUUACGCUUGAGUUCUCGACGCAUUUAAUCCCAUGUUCUGAUCUUGUUGCGACCUUCUUUUUCUCGUUGCCUUUUGAGAUUUUCCCACUAGAUAAAAGUGUGCUUCUUUAAUUCAAUUACCACAAGCUUUACACGUCUUUCAUUGGGAAUGUCUUUGAGCUCGAAAACUCUUUCCACUGUGUAAAGCCAAUCAAGAAAGUCAUCAGGAUGAAGUCUUCCUUCAAACUCAGGAAUGUCGACUUUAAUUCCCAAAUCUCUAGUAGUAGCAGUUCUCAAGCGACGAUUAGAUACUUCUUCAUCAGAGGAUGAAUUUUGAUGAAAUGGGUUAAUGUCAUUCUCUUCAUCACUAGAGCUACUAUUGUUGAUUUGAGCAUCA